GACGUAGGGCGCGAGCGUUGUCCGGAUUUAUUGGGCGUAAAGAGCGUGUAGGCGGCUAGGUAGGUCCGUUGUGAAAACUCGAGGCUCAACCUCGAGACGCCGGUGGAAACCAUCUAGCUAGAGUCCGGAAGAGGAGAGUGGAAUUCCUGGUGUAGCGGUGAAAUGCGCAGAUAUCAGGAAGAACACCCGUGGCGAAGGCGGCUCUCUGGGACGUGACUGACGCUGAGACGCGAAAGCGUGGGGAGCGAACAGG
rnacentral:rRNA from 1 species